UAGCUCAACUGGUAAAGCAUGGCGUUAACACCACCAGGGUUAGGGGUUCGAUUCCCACUGGGGCCCGGCCA